rnacentral:rRNA from 1 species
GUAGGGAAUAUUGGGCAAUGGAUGCAAGUCUGACCCAGCCAUCCCGCGUGCCGGAAGAAGGCCCUCAGGGUUGUAAACGGCUUUUGACGGUGAAGAAUCGACAGGAUGCGUCCUGUUUUGACGGUAGCCGUUGAAUAAGCACCGGCUAACUCCGUGCCAGCAGCCGCGGUAAUACGGAGGGUGCGAGCGUUGUCCGGAUUUAUUGGGUUUAAAGGGUGCGUAGGCUGGAGGGUCAGUCAGCGGUGAAAAGCUGUCGCUUUACGAUAGUCUUGCCGCAGAUACUUCCUUUCUUGGAUGAGGAGGAGGCCACUGGAACGGAUGGUGUAGCGGUGAAAUGCAUAGAUAUCAUCCAGAACACCGAUUGCGAAGGCAGGUGGCUGUACCUUAAUCGACGCUGAUGCACGAAAGCAUGGGGAGCAAACAGGAUUAGAAACCCCAGUAGUCC